rnacentral:miRNA from 15 species
CGACAGCACGAUACUGCCUUCA